CCCGGUCGACCGACCGAAGCGAGUCGUCUCUCCUCCUCCGAGGAAGCGUGACCGAGUUGGGGGGGCUAAGAGACGCAUUGGAUUCGCUCCCUCGCCUCACCGGGGAGACGUCAUUGGCGAAAGCGAAUGCGUGUGUUUUGUAUCUCCAUAAGGACACUUUUGUGUUGUUGUUUUUUUUUAAGGGGGGAUUUUUGUGCCCAUGCGCACAAGGGCAGCGAAUAGAUCCGCUCACUUGUCUCCUUUACCAGGUCGGGAUCGGACCUUGUGUUUGUUCUUUUCCACUUCUUCCAUGUUCUCUUUUUAUUGCAACCCAUUUGGACUUCUUUUACUCCUUCCAAUUUGAUUCCCGGGACGUGGAUUUUCCCCGGCUGGCUACGAAGUGGAAGACGGACGGAACGGUGGCGGUGGUGUUUGGGGAGGGGGGGAGGAAGACAUGCCAACGGCGGCGGCGACAACGAAGAGACUCGGCUUUAACCUUUGAUCGUGUCAGAGCGGGACGAGUCUAAGCAGGGGGGGGACGACGAGCGAGGGCAGCAGCAGCAGCAGUGCCGACCUUGAGACAUGGCACCCCCGCCGCACAGAGGGGCGUGUCUCGUCCUGCCCCUGCUCCUCGGCUGCGCUGCCAUCUCCUCCGUGGCGGACAAGCUGCCGAGCUUCAUCAAAUCCCCCGAGGACCAGACGGGCAUCUCGGGCGGCGUGGCGUCCUUUGUGUGCCAGGCGGCCGGCGAGCCCAAACCCCGAAUCACCUGGAUGAAGAAGGGCAAGAAAGUCAGCUCGCAGCGCUUUGAGGUAAUCGAGUUUGAUGACGGUUCGGGAUCCGUGCUGCGCAUCCAGCCGCUGCGCACGCACCGCGACGAGGCCAUUUACGAGUGCACGGCGGCCAACAGCGCCGGCGAGAUCAACACCAGCGCCAAGCUGACCGUCUUUGAAGAGAACCAGAUCCCCCACGGCUUCCCUACCAUCGACAUGGGCCCCCAGCUGAAGGUGGUGGAGCGGACCAGGACCGCCACCAUGUUAUGCGCUGCCAGCGGAAACCCCGACCCGGAGAUCACCUGGUUCAAGGAUAUGCUGCCUGUGGAUAUCGGCAGUAGCAACGGUCGCAUCAGACAGCUACACUCAGGUGGUACGCCAAUUAGAGGAGCUCUACAAAUCGAGAACAGCGAGGAGUCCGACCAGGGCAAAUAUGAGUGCAUCGCCACCAACGGCGCCGGCACCCGUUACUCGGCUCCCGCCAACCUCUACGUGCGAGUCCGCAGAGUUCCGCCGAGGUUCUCCAUCCCGCCCACCAACCAGGAGGUGAUGCCGGGCGGCAGCGUCAACUUGACGUGCGUGGCGGUGGGCUCGCCCAUGCCCUACGUCAAGUGGAUGAUGGACUUGAAGGAGCUGACCCGCGAAGAGGAGAUGCCCAUGGGCCGAAACGUGCUGGAGGUCACCAAUAUCCGCGAGUCGGGCAACUACACCUGCGUGGCCAUGUCCUCGCUGGGCAUCAUCGAAGCCACGGCGCAGGUCACCGUCAAAGCCCUGCCAAAGCCCCCCGUUUCCCUGGCGGUGACCGAGAGAACUGCCACCAGCGUGACCUUGACGUGGGACUCGGGCAACCCGGAACCCGUCUCCUACUACAUGAUCCAGUACCGGGCCAAGGCGUCGGAUAACGCCUUUCAGGAGGUGGAGGGCGUGGCCACCACCCGCUACAGCAUCGGCGGCCUGAGCCCCUACUCGGAGUACGAAUUCCGGGUGAUGGCGGUCAACAACAUCGGUCGCGGAGCGCCCAGCGAGCCGGUGGCCACGCGCACGGGCGAGCAGGCCCCGUCGUCGCCCCCGCUGCGCGUCCAGGCGCGCAUGCUGAGCGCCACCACCAUGCUGGUCCAGUGGGACCCGCCCGAGGAGCCCAACGGCCACAUCCGGGGCUUCCGCAUCUACUACAGCUCGGACCACGCCGCGCCGCUCAGCGCCUGGCACAAGCACAACACGGACGACAGCAGCCUGACCACCAUCUCGGGGCUGACGCCGGACAUCACCUACAGCCUCAGGGUGCUGGGCUUCACCUCGGUGGGGGACGGCCCGCCCUCCGAGGCGCUUCAGGUCAAAACCCAGCAAGGAGUCCCGUCCCAGCCGUCGGGCUUCGUGGCCGAAACGGAGCUGGACACCCGCGUCUUGCUCUCCUGGCUGUGGCCCCUCCAGGACCCCAUCAUCAAGUACGAGCUGCAGUACUGGGAGGCCGGCACGGACAACAAGAUCCACGUGACCUUUGACCCGGCCGGCUCUUACGCCGUGGACGGCCUGAAGCCCGACACGCUGUACCGCUUCUCCCUGGCCGCCCGCUCCGAAAUGGGCUUGGGCGUCUACACCCAGGCCAUCGAAGCUCGCACGGCCCAGUCCACACCCUCAGCUCCCCCCCAGGACGUGCACCUGUUCAGCCUUAGCUCCACCAGCCUGAAGGUGAGUUGGGCGGCGCCGCCGGCCGGCCGGCGCCACGGCGUCAUCGUCGGCUACACGGUCAGCUACCAGGCGUUGAGCGGCGAGGACACCGAGCGCCACCAAGUGAGCGGCAUCGGCGCCGCCGCCUCGGUCUACGUCAUCCAGGACCUGGAGCGCUGGACCGAGUAUCAGGUGUGGGUGCGCGCUCACACCAAGGCGGGGCCGGGCCCCGAGAGCGCUCCGGUCAGGAUGAAAACACAGCCGGAUGUGCCGGGAGCGCCGCCGCGGAAGCUGGAGGCCGAGGCGGUCAACUCCACCACCAUCCGCGUGACCUGGAAGCCGCCGCUGCAGAGCAAGCAGCACGGCCAGAUCCGAGGCUACCAGGUGGCCUACACGCCGGUGGAGAACGGCGAGCCGCGCGGCCAGCCCAACAUCCUCGACGUGGUCUUGGCGGAGGAGCAGUUCAAUAUUACGGAGUUCACCGAGCAUGAGGCCUUCAUUACGGGACUGCAGUCUGAGACCACCUACUCGGUGGCCGUGGCGGCGUACACCACCAGGGGAGACGGACCUCGUUGCAAACCCAAAUUGGUCACCACCACCGGAGCAGUGCCCGGCAAGCCCACCAUGAUGAUCAGCGCCACCAUGGGCAACACGGCGCUCAUCCAGUGGCAGCCCCCCAAAGAGAUGGUGGGCGAGCUGAUGGGCUACGUGCUGCAGUACAAGCGCGCCGACGACGAGGCGUACACCUCGCGGGAACUGCGCGCCACCGACGACCACUACACGGUGACGGGACUGCACAAGGGCGCCACCUACGUCUUCCGCCUCAGCGCCCGCAACCGCGCCGGCGCCGGCGAGGCCUACGUCAAGGAGAUCGGCACUCCCGAGGACGCGCCUUCGGGUUUCCCCUUGAACCUGCGGGUGACGGGCCUGACCCAGUCCAGCACGCAGCUGGCGUGGGACCCGCCGCCGCUGGCCGAGCGAAACGGCAAGAUCGCCUACUACCUGGUGGUCUACCGCGACAUCAACAGCCAGCAAAACGCCACCAACCGCACGGGCGACACGCGCAUGACCAUCGGGGGCCUCAACCCCGACACCACCUACGACAUCCGCGUGCAGGCGUACACCAGCAAGGGAGGGGGGCCCGUGAGCCCCAGCAUCCAGAGCAGGACCAUGUCCAACGAUUUCCCCACCUUGAACUUUGGGGUCAAAGCCGUCACAAAGACGUCGGUGCUCCUCACCUGGGAUUUGCCGCCCAACUACAAGUCCCAAGCGCCUUUUAAGAUCCUGUACAGCCAGCAGAGCGUGGAGGUGCAGGGCAACCUCAAGCGCAAGCUGAUCACGCAGCUGCAGCCCGACACCGACUACUCCUUCGUGCUGACCAGCCGGGGCAACAUCGCCGGGGGUCUGCAGCAGCAAGUGUCCAUCCGUACCGCCCCCGACCUCAUCAAGACCAAGCCUUUGUACGCCGCCCGGCAGGCUCACGGCGGCGUGAUGACCGUUAGCCUGCCCAAGGUGCAGACCACCACGCGGGUCAGGUGGUACUACAUUGUGGUGGUGCCCGUGUCCCAAUCGAGCCGACGUUGGAAGAAUCCGGAUGAGAUGGACCUGGAUGAGCUUCUGAAAUCCAGCGAAGGCCCCGCGCUGAGGCGGCGGCGUCGUCGGCGGCGUCAUCUGGACUCGUCCAAGCCUUACAUCGCCGCCAAGCUGGCCUCGCUGCCGCCCGCCUUCACGCUGGGAGACGAGAAGCGCUACAACAACUACUACAACAAGCCGCUGAGCGGCGGGCAGGAGUACGUCUGCUUCGUUUUGGCCGUCCUGCGAUCCGAGGGCAGCGACAGCGCCUCCAAUUAUAUGACGUUUUCCGCCAGUCCCUAUUCGGACCUCAUCCAGGUCAGCUCGCAGUCGCUGGCUCGGGGGGCGGAGCAGACGGAAAUGCUGUGGGUGAUGGGGCCCGUGUUUGCCGUGGUGCUCAUCAUCAGUGUCGUCAUCGCCAUCCUGCUCUACAAAAAGAAGCGGGCGUCGCCCCUGCCCAAGGACGAGCAGUCGGGUGGAGUGAAAGACUCCCUGCUGGGCAACUCCUCUGACCCCGUGGAGAUGAGACGACUCAACUACCAGACGCCAGGUCCCAGCACUCACCGCAGCCCCAACACACCAAGGAUGCGAGAACACCCGCCCAUUCCUGUUGCGGGCCUCGCCGACCACAUCGAGAACCUCAAGGCCAAUGACGGCCUGCGUUUCUCUCAGGAGUAUGAGUCCAUCGACCCGGGCCAGCAGUUCACCUGGGAGAACUCCAACAUGGAAGUGAACAAGCCAAAGAACCGCUACGCCAACGUCAUCGCCUACGACCACUCCAGGGUGGUGCUCACUUCCGUCGACGCGGUCCCGGGCAGCGACUACAUCAACGCCAACUACAUUGACGGCUACCGCAAGCAAAACGCCUACAUCGCCACGCAGGGACCGCUGCCCGAGACGCUGAGCGACUUCUGGAGGAUGGUGUGGGAGCAGCGAUCCAGCACCAUCGUCAUGAUGACGCGACUGGAGGAGAAGUCUCGGGUGAAGUGUGACCAGUACUGGCCGGCGCGAGGAACCGAGACCUACGGCAUGAUCCAGGUCACCAUGCUGGACACGGUGGAGCUGGCCACUUACAGCGUGCGCACUUUUGCGCUCUACAAGAACGGCUCCAGCGAGAAGAGAGAGCUGCGGCAGUUUCAGUUCAUGGCCUGGCCCGACCACGGCGUGCCCGAGUAUCCCACCCCCAUCCUGGCCUUCCUGAGACGAGUCAAAGCCUGCAACCCUCCGGAUGCCGGCCCCGUGGUGGCGCACUGCAGCGCGGGCGUGGGCCGGACGGGCUGCUUCAUCGUGAUCGAUGCCAUGCUGGAGCGCAUGAAGCACGAGAAGUCGGUGGACAUCUACGGCCACGUGACGUGCAUGCGGGCCCAACGCAACUACAUGGUGCAGACGGAGGACCAGUACAUCUUCAUCCACGAGGCGCUGCUGGAGGCGGCCACCUGCGGAAACACCGAGGUGCCGGCGCGCAAUCUCUACGCGCACAUUCAGAAGCUGACGCAGCCGCCGCCCGGCGACACGGUCACCGCCAUGGAGCUGGAGUUCAAGCGGCUGGCCAACUCCAAGGCCCACACGUCGCGCUUCAUCAGUGCCAACCUGCCCUGCAACAAGUUCAAGAACCGUCUGGUGAACAUCAUGCCUUUCGAGUCCACGCGCGUCUGCCUGCAGCCCAUCCGCGGCGUGGAGGGCUCCGACUACAUCAACGCCAGCUGCAUCGACGGAUACAGACAGCAGAAGGCCUACCUGGCCACGCAAGGCCCGCUGUCGGAGACCACCGAGGACUUCUGGAGAAUGUUGUGGGAGCACAACUCCACCAUCGUCGUCAUGCUCACCAAGCUACGGGAGAUGGGACGGGAAAAGUGCCACCAGUACUGGCCGGCCGAGCGCUCGGCCCGCUACCAGUACUUUGUGGUGGACCCCAUGGCCGAGUACAACAUGCCGCAGUACAUCCUGAGAGAGUUCAAGGUGACGGACGCCCGCGACGGACAGUCCCGAACCAUCCGCCAGUUCCAGUUCACCGACUGGCCCGAGCAGGGCGUGCCCAAAACGGGCGAGGGCUUCAUCGACUUCAUCGGGCAAGUGCACAAGACCAAGGAACAGUUCGGACAGGACGGACCCAUCACCGUGCACUGCAGUGCCGGGGUGGGUCGCACGGGAGUCUUCAUCACGCUCAGCAUUGUGCUGGAGAGGAUGAGGUACGAGGGCGUGGUGGACCUUUUCCAGACCGUCAAGACCCUGCGCACUCAGCGGCCCGCCAUGGUGCAGACCGAGGACCAGUACCAGCUGUGCUACCGGGCCGCUCUGGAAUACCUGGGGAGCUUCGACCACUAUGCAACGUAACCCCAGGCCAGGUCGCCGAGGUCCGAGUCCCUCAGGAGUGUGCCAUGUGUCCCAUCUCAUCACCCAUACCCCGGGAAAUAAUGUCAUUGAAAAAAAAAAACACACACAAACACACACACGCCACCCAACCUUUUGCUUCGGGGAGAGGUGCGAAGAACGGAACCAACCAUGUGACUUUAUUUUUUUUAUUUUUUUGUGCAUCUAAGUCUUGUACAGUUGACAGCGUCACCUGUCGCUCUUCUAGCGGUACCUCCACUAAUUUUUGCAAUGAUUUACAUUUUUUUGUUUAGUCUACUUUUUAAAAUCUUUUUUUAAUAACAUUGUGUCUUAACACAGCUCCAGUGCUUUAUUUUAAUAAUUACUACUUUUAAUUUUUUUUUUUUGCAUUGUUUUUAAAGGUGGUUAAGGGGGACAUUUUAGCAUAGCCAUGCUAGAGGCUAAUGUCCUCCGGGCUGGCCGCUUGUUUGCGUUGAUGUCACACGCUCUGGAUUUAGUCAGGAUGAUGACCACGACAAGAUGGGGG